rnacentral:rRNA from 1 species
AUUGAACGCUGGCGGCAUGCCUUACACAUGCAAGUCGAACGGCAGCACGGGAGCUUGCUCCUGGUGGCGAGUGGCGAACGAGUGAGUAAUACAUCGGAACGUACCCCUGAAGUGGGGGAUAACGUAGCGAAAGUUACGCUAAUACCGCAUAUUCUGUGAGCAGGAAAGAGGGGGAUCGCAAGACCUCUUGCUUUAGGAGCGGCCGAUGUCGGAUUAGCUAGUUGGUGAGGUAAAGGCUCACCAAGGCGACGAUCCGUAGCGGGUCUGAGAGGAUGAUCGCCACACUGGGACUGAGACACGGCCCAGACUCCUACGGGAGGCAGCAGUGGGGAAUUUUGGACAAUGGGCGCAAGCCUGAUCCAGCCAUGCCGCGUGAGUGAAGAAGGCCUCGGUUGUAAG